CGUAAACUAAGCGAGCUACUUCAAAACAGCCUUAUAGGGCCAACCCGUCUCUGUUGCAAAAGAGUGGGAAGAUUUUCAAGUAGAGGUGAUAAACCUACCGAGCUUAGAGAUAGCUGGUUAUUCAAGAAAAGGAUCUAAGUCCUACCUUAAAUCAAUACAGUAAUAAUAAAUACAUUAACAGAUUUAAGAGCUAUUCAAAUAAGGUACAGCCUAUUUGAAACAGGAUACAACCUAAACAACAGGGUAAUGAAAUCAAAUACGUAACUAAGUGGGCCUAAGAGCAGCCAUCUUUUAAAAAGCGUUAAAGCUUAAUUACUUAUUUAUAUUAAUUCCGCUAACCAAUCAAAACCCUUAUCCAGUAUUGAAUGAUUCCAUAACCAUAUGGAAAACCGUAUGCUAGAACUAGUAAUAAGAAGAAGACCUUCUCCAAAAUACAAGUGUGAGCCGAAAUGAACAACUCAUCGGCACUUAACGUAAAUGAACCCAAAGUAGUAACAAAACAAGAAAAUUCUACUACACAAUACGUCAACCUUACACUAGAGUAUUACUGGAAAGAUUAAAAGAAAGGGAAGGAACUCGGCAAAUCAUCAACCCCGCCUGUUUACCAAAAACAUCGCCUCUUGACAAAAUAUAAGAGGUCCAGCCUGCCCAGUGACAAAGUUAAACGGCCGCGGUACCCUAACCGUGCGAAGGUAGCGCAAUCACUUGUUCUUUAAAUGAGGACUAGUAUGAAUGGCAUCACGAGGGUUGCACUGUCUCCCCUUUUUAAUCAAUGAAACUGACCCCCCCGUGAAGAGGCGGGGAUAUAACUAUAAGACGAGAAGACCCCAUGGAGCUUUAAACUCAGUAUCAACCGCCUAACAACACAUCAUUACAAUUUGGCAGAUCUGAUUACUAGUUUUCGGUUGGGGUGACCGCGGAGUAAAACAAAACCUCCACGAUGAAAGGACCUAUACUCCUAAUCAUAGAGCCACAGCUCAAAGAAUCAAAAAACUGACAUAAAUUGAUCCAAUUAAUUUGAUCAACGAACCAAGUUACCCUGGGGAUAACAGCGCAAUCCACUUCAAGAGCCCCUAUCGACAAGUGGGUUUACGACCUCGAUGUUGGAUCAGGGUAUCCCAGUGGUGCAGCCGCUACUAAAGUUCGUUGUCACGAU
rnacentral:rRNA from 1 species